rnacentral:other from 1 species
AAUUUCCUGGGGCGUUCGCCAGCUCACUUAUUUUGAUCCUACAUUUUUCGAUUGGGAUUCCUAUAUGUUCAUGCUGAUGUCGGGCCUCCUGAGAGUGGAUGGCAGAUGUAUGACUGCGGUCACCCACCUGGCUUUGGCUAGGAGUCGAAGACGUGGGUAACGGCGUUUUGGGAAAUUA